CAAAAAAUAUAUUAAACUUGGGGAGUGUCAAAAAUCACGUGUCUACAUUUUGCCCCUCUUUGUGUGAAAUUUCGAAGAGUUAUCACACAAUGAAGUAGACAAAAUUGAUGAUUUUUUAUCCUCUGAAUAUUCAAAAAAUGAGGAUAAAGCUAAAAUAAAAUAAAAGAUGUGACCGAGUCCUGGUUUUGGACCGCUUACAUAUCUUGGGUUAUAAGAAAAUCAGGUCACGUAUAGUUCAAAAGAAAAUGGUAAGAGAACGAAUUAGAGGUCUAGUGAGGUUCCGUUGAGUUUCCAGUUCACAACUUUUGCUUUUACAUUCACAUGAAUAAUAAAAUAAAAUUGAAGAUACAAGUGAAAGAAUCCUAUCUAUUCAGCUUUUCCGGAAUCUUGACUUGAAUUUUUAUGACUUCUCAAGUGGUGAGAAAGGCGUUAUUUUGAGUUGAGUCUUGAAAAAUGAAAUAUUCCUCCACGUUGCCUCUUGGCAUUGGAGAGGAACUUGACAGUCUUCAUUUUUCAGACUUUUCUAUGACUUAAACUCGAAAAUCUUCACCCUAUUCUUCAGGCGGACUCCUGAACUUGCAACUGGUAAUGUUCACCCUAUUCUUCAGGGGAGUUCCUAAUCUGCUAUUUCUUCACUCUGUUCUUCAGGCGGGCUCCUGACUUGCUAUUUCUCCAUCCUGUUCUUCAGGCGGGCUCCUGACUUCUUGUUUCUUUACCCUGUUCUUCAGGCUAGCUCCUAAACUCAAAAUAAAAGAUGAACUAGAAAAGAAAAGUCCCAUUAUUUAGGAGGGUCCUGAACAUAAAUAAAUUUUCAUUUUGCAGGAGGGUCCUGAGCAUAAAAUAAAUUCCCAUUCUUCAGGAGGGUCCUGAGCUUAAAUAAAUUUUCAUUCUUUAGGAGUGUCCCGAGCUAAAAUAAAUUCCCAUUCUUCAAGAGGAGCCUGAGCAUAAAUAUAAAUUCCUAUUCUUCAGGAGGGUCCUGAGCAUAAAAAUAAAUUCUCAUUCUUUAGGAGGGUCAUAGGAUAAAUAAAUUCCUAUUCUUCAGGAGGGUCCUAAGCAUAAAAUAAAUUUCAAUAAACACGAACAAAAUUUUUCCUCAGUUUGCAUUAGAAAAUUUUGUGAAUGUCAUCAGAUCAUAAUUUUUUGAAAAGUACAGUAAAAAGUGUGAAUCAAAGCCCUGCUAAAGGAAUGCGUCUUUUCAGAGUAAAACUUAUGACCAAAUUUAGGAAGUGUGUCUUCUAACACAUGAAACUUAAAUCACCUAGACAAAGAAGUGCAUCUCCUAGGGUUUAAAUAAAAUGACUCAACUAGAAAGUGCGUCUUUUAGGAGUGAAUGGUUCAAGUUAAGAAGUGCGUCACCUAACAUAUGAAACUUAAAUUACUUAGACAAGGAAGUGUGUCUCCUAGGGGUUAAAUAAAAUGACUCGACUAGAAAGUGCGUCUUCUAAGAGUAAUGAUUCAAGUUAGGAAGUGUGUCACCUAACGAAUAAAACUUGAUAUAUCCAGACUAAGAAGUGCGUCUCCUAGGGGUUGAAUGAAAUGACUCAGUUAGAAAGUGCGUCUUCUAGGAGUGAUGGUUCAAGUUAGGAAAUGCAUCACCUAACAAAUGAAACUUAAACUAUCUAGACUAGGAAGUGCGUAUCCUAGGGGUUAAAUGAAAUGACUCAACUAGAAAGUAUGUCUUCUAGGAGUGAUGGUUUCAAGUUAGGAAGUGCAUCACCUAACAAAUGAAACUUGGAUUAUCAAGACUCGAAAGUACGUCUCCUAGGGGUUAAAUGAAAUAACUCGAAUAGAAAGUGUGUCUUCUAGAAAUGAUGGUUCAAGCUAGGAAAUACAUCAUCUAACAGAAUUAUCCAGAUUAGGAAGUACGUCUCCUAGGGGUUAAAUGAAAUGACUCAACUAAAAAGUGUGUCUUUCAGAAAUGAUGGUUCAAGUUAGAUAGUGCAUUCCUAACACAUGAAACCUGAAAUACCCAGACAAGAAAGUGCGUCUCCUAGGGGUUAAAUGAAAUGACUCAACUAUAAAGUGUGUCUUCUAAAAAUAAUGAUUCAAGUUAGGAAGUACGUUACCUAACACAUGAAACCUCAAAUACCCAGACAAGGAAGUGCAUCUCUUAGGGGUUAAAUGCAAUGACUUGACUAGAAAGUGCGUCUUCUAGGAGUAAUGAUUCAAGUUAGGAAGUGCGUUACCUAACAAAUGAAAACUGACAUACCCUGACUAGGAAGUGCGUCUCCUAGAAGUAAAUUGAAAUGACUCAACUAGAAAGUACGUCUCCUGGGAGUAAAUUGAAAUGACUCAACUAAAAAGUACGUCUUCUAGAAGUUAAAGCUCAAGUUAGAUAGUGCAUCACAUAACACAUAAAAAAUAACUUACCCAAACAAGGAAGUGCGUCUCCUAAGGGUAUAGGAUGAUAAGUUUUCACUAUGAUUGUGAUAACUAAAUAUAUGUAGCAAUAUUAACUCUUGCAUUUGCAAAAGUGAUAAAUUUCGUCUUGUUGAUAUCUAAACUUUAAACAAUUUAAAUUAAGGGCAGUAUUCCUCUCUAUUUCAAACAAAGACAAAUUAUGGUUUAAAAAUGUGGUGGUUGAUUUGUGACAUCUGGCUAUUGAGGUGACCACUCUUUCAUUUGUCAUACUCAGCUCCAUUUUAUUCAUUGAUAAGUAUUGUUGAUUUGAACUUUUGACCCCUAAAAUCUUUCUAAUGGAACUUUUUGACUCAAAUCGUAUUUCUCUUACAUGAUGCUUCUGAGUAUAACUUCAAACACAUCUUUCAUACUUCUAUGAGUCCAAAAACUAUCGAACAAUAGGCAUUCUUUAGUACUUUGAUUUAUUUUUGAAACAUGUUAUCUUCGUGCGAAGCCCUUUAUCUUGCUUUGUACCAUUGAAGGAGUUGGUAGCAAGUUUUGAAGUCCUUCCUCGCUUGUCUUAACAUGAAUUUGACUCAAAAAAUACGCGAAAGAUGACAAUGAUUUUUCAUUUAAUGACAAAAAUUCAAAAAAAAAAAGACAAUAGGCAUCUCUUUUUUAAAUCAACAUAAAGAAAAACUUAUUUGGGUGUGAUAACCGGUUCAGUGAUUAUGACAUGCAUUUUUAAAUUAAAUAACAGAAUCUUUCUACACUAAUCAUUUGUUAACUUUUGUCCACUUUUUGAGUUUGAAACUGAGUCAUUGUUGAAUUUGUGCACUCUAAAUUACAAUUCUCCUUCGACUUGUGGCACCUCAAUGGGUUUUUGCCAACGAGCCUAUCUCAUUUUCAUUUCUUUCUCAGCUCACCGUCGCCUAAUGGUUCCCAAAAGGGUUUUCACCAAUAAGACUCUCUCUUUUUUAUUUUUUUUAUUUUUUUUUUAUUUAUUCUUUUUUUUUAAAGAAAAAUAAUAUCCAAAAUAUGAAACAUCAUGCACCCAUAACAUGUUCAGCCUUGACAUUCUAAAAGAUUGAUCUGAAAGUCUUUCUUUGGUUGUAACUUGGAUUUUGGAAAGGGUUAGAAAGAAAGGAUGGCAUGAGGCUAAAAAAUUUACAUGAGAUUGAGUGAAGCAUACAACUUUUGGAAUCGACUCUUAAGGAAAUAAAUAUUUGCCCCAGUUUUAUUUCAUACUGGAUAAAUUAAAUUUUUUACUUUGUUGGACCAAACCACAGGUUAGGGUUGCCUACGUAUCUUGUCAUAGCAAGAAUUAGGUUAAACGUAGUUCAGGCAUCUUAUUCUUUUGCUUGAUUUUUUUUUGGACUCUUUUCUUUUCUUUUUCUUGACAUUUUUUUUUUUAGAUUUUUGCUGAUUCUAUUUCUUUUUUCUUAACAUUUUUUCUGACUAUAUUUCUCUUUCUUGACACUUUUUUUUACUCUAUUUUGAUUCCAAAAGAGGUGUAUGAAAGAAAAUAAAACUAAGGCUCAAACGGGGUAGCAAAUGAUGACAUAACAUUUGGAUAGCAGAAUAAAAUGUCUUCGGCAUAUCAAUCCUUAAAAAUCAAGUACAUAAACAUGCGAUCUGAGAGUGGAACAUGAAGUUCAUACACAUUUUUUAAAUAUUGACCAUGAUUAAGAACUUGUGUCAUUACUUCUUAUGCACUUGUCAAACAUAAAGAUCAAAUUGUCUUCUACAUUUCUCCCAUAGAGGACUCAUGCGUUUUUCAAGUUAACUUUCUUUUGCUUCUCUUGACAGUGAGGACUAUAUAUCCUCUGAUCUCUCCCAUUUAAAGUGCUUGAGAUGGACUUUCCCAUUGAUGACCACGUCACUUUUGAUUCACAAAGAAAUUGCUUCAAUCCAUUCAAGUGAGGCGUUAACUCGGUCAACAAACAUCUCAACACUUUACAUAUUUCCCUAUUUUUUUUUUCAACUCUAUCUUCUUGGUCAAGUGUUUCGGGAUUAGAUUAGAUUUUAACAUCCGAUUAAAAUUCAGCAUGCAUAUUAUAUCACUAGAAUCCACUUAAAAAAAUUAUGUAAAGGAAGAAAAGACGAACAAAUAAUAUAUAUAUUAAAAUAAAGUAAAAUAAAAUAAAAUAAAAAAUAAACUAAAAAUAAAUAAAUAAAUAAAUAAAUAAAAGGGACACUACAUUUUGUUAAAAGAAAAGAUGACCGAGUUUCAACAUAAAUGGUAAAUAAAUACGACAAGAUAGACUCCGGACUACAAUCCUGAAAUAAUUCGGAUAACAAAAAUAAAAAUAAAAUAAACUUCCAUAAAUCCUUUCUAGUAAGGGGAGGAGUGACUUCUCAAUUGUUGAGCUUGGUAUCUUAGUCAGUUCACACAUCAACAUGAGUAGAGCCUUCACCACUGUCAACAUUCUGUACCAUAAUCAAUUUAUCUUGAAUCAUUCUUUCUAUUUCUCUUUUCAAAGCACGACAAUCUUUAGUACUAUGACCCUAAACAUCAGAAUGAUAUGCACAUCAUAUAUUAGGAUCAAAUUUUCUUGAAUAUGGGUCAGGGGUGUACCCAAGAAGAGGAGUGAUCAUAUCCUUUUGUCUCAGUUUCUAGAAUAAACUAGUAUAUGAUUCUCCAAUUGGUGUGAAAUUAUCCCUUAGCUUCUUCCUCUUUUCAUUGUUUGGCUUGGAGCAAAAAUUGAAUCUGAAAGUGCUCGGGUAUGUUUGUGGAAUUGGAGGAUGAUUCUGAGGGGUUGGUGCAUGCCAUUGCUGAUAAAAAGGAGCUCAAGCAUAUGGUUGUGCAUUAUAGAUAGAAUAUUGAGGAGAUAGAAUGGAAUAUAAUGGAUUUUGUGGAGGAACGUAGUAUCGUGGAUGGUUAUAUGGAUCUUGGACAUAAAUUUGGGAUUGAUAUUGUACGUAAGGGUGACGCGCACCUCUCCACUUUUGUCGUGGACCUAGCACAAUAACAGCUGCAUCAUAUUUUAUUUUCUUUCCACCAAAACUUCCUGAACCAAUUUGAAUUACCUGUGUUGUUGCUUUUAAAGCGGCCUGGUUGAUAAUCUCUUCGGACUUAAUUCCAUUAUCUACUAUCUCUCCAACUUUAAUGACCUCACAAAUAUGUAUCCAAUAGUAGAAAGAAAAUGAUGGAAAUAAUCAGGUUCUUGUGCCUGUAAAAAGCUAUCAAUCAUUUCAAACUCCUUUAUCGAUGGUCUGACUCUUGCAGCCUGCUCUCUCUAUCUGACGACCUAUUCUCAGAAUUUUCAGUUAUCUUUUUUCUCAUGUUGGUAAGCGUAAUGCGAUCUAGCACUACCUCAAUGUUAUAUCAAAAUUGUUGAACAAAAUCCGAGCCAUGUCAUCCCAUAUGUACCAACGGGAAAUGUCAUGGUCAAUGAACCAUUCAAAAGCUAUCCCUGCCAGGCUUUCUCCAAAGUAAGCCAUCAAUAGUUCUUUUUUUCCUCUUGCUCCCCUUAAUUGAUUGCAAAACUUUUUCAAAUAAGCCACAGGAUCGCCAUGACCUUCUUACUUGUCAAACUUUGACAUUUUGAACCCUAGCGGCAAAUGGACGUCAGUAAACAUACACAAAUCUUUGUAUGAAACACUUUUUAGUCCUCCUAAUCUUUGCAUAUUUCUUAUACUCUGCUCUAAGAUUCUCACUUUGUUGGUCAUCUCUUCCUGUUCUUUACUUUUAACAAUCUUCUCAAUCACGAUAGGAAAAUCAUGUUGAUGAGCAUGAUAAUGUGGAUUUAGGGGUUUGAAAGUUAUUUCAGAAGGAUACAAUUGAUCAUGACUUGGUUCACCUAUAUUCUUCUGUAUUAUCAAUUGAGGACCCGCAGUAGCUGGUGCUACAUGCGUGAAAAGCGAGUUGUUGUGACAGAUAGAUUUGGUGGGGGCAUGGUGGAAGUACCAGUAGCGCCAAACACAUUAGCAUAUGGGCCGAAUCCAGGUGGGUAAAAUGGAUCGCCAAUUUGAGCUUGAGCGGAAUUUGGACCAUUCAUAUUUGAAAGUCUAAGGAUUGAGGAAGGAGGGGCUUGUCCACUCGACCAAGCUUGGUACAUCUCCGCUAUUUGUUGUUUCAAUAACUUAUUUUCUUCCAUUGAUGCUAAUUCUUGCGAAAUUAACUGAUUUUGCUCUUCCUCACUGUCAGACCCCACACCCUCUUUGCUGGUUAUCUUUCUCUUUUCUUUGAACCUCUGUUGCAUGGAUUGAGAAGCCAACUUAUCCACAAACCAACCACAUUAAUACUUUUUUGAUUUUGGAGAAAACUAAUGUGUCAGAGUUCAAUUUUUUUAAGACCAUCGAAUCCAUGAAGGACUGCCUACGUAUCUCAUUAAGAUGAGAAUCAUGUGUGCAUAGUUCAUGAAAUAUAUGUCGUACAAAACUCAGCCUUAAGACCCCUAAAGGUUUAGGGCUGUUAAGAUUUAUAUAUGUUUUAUUUUGUAAAAACUUAGCCUCAUGAUCCCUAAAGAUUCAGGGGUAUUGAUAUAUAUAUAUAUAUAUAUAUAUAUACAUAUAUAAGUAUAUAUAUAUGUGUGUGUGUGUAUAUAUAUGUAUAUAUAUGCAUGUAUAAAAAUUGAAUUUGAGUAUAAGAAAAAUAAUUAUGAAAGUAAUUAUAUUUUCAAAAUAUUCCCCAAUAGAUCUAUGAAUAAUUUUUCAAAAGAAAGGGUCACACCACGAAAAGGUUUUCCUACGUAUCCCGCUAAAUAGUGAGAAUCAGACCCUCGUAGUUCAUGAAGACUAAAGCAAAACUAAAUUUUUAUUUUCAAAAAUUUCAUUAUUAUUAUUAUGAUUAUUAUUAUUAGAAAAAGAUAAUUAAAUUUGAAGGACAGGACACUCUCUUAUAUUUCACCAAGUUGCCUAAAGUCAGCCAAUCAAUCAAAUAGGCCUUCCAAAUAAAUGUCAAAGAGCAUGUAGGAUGCACAUGUUGGUCAUUAUAAAAAGGGACACCUGUCCUAGAUAGACCCGACCUCUGUGCCGAGUUCUGCUAAGUCAAAUGCACAUGAUGCAAACAAAGAGGAACCUAAUGGGAAAACCAGAUUAUGAGUUUCAAUUCUACUAAGUUUAGGCUGACAGGGAUAGGUGUUUAGACUGGUUUACCUGAGCGGACACUCGAGUCGGGGAGGGACAACUUGUUUGGUAGCAAUGCUACUUUGACUUCGUUUCUAUCCAAAACCCGCCUAACAUGUACGACUAUAAUCCUUUACAAGGUGCCUUGACACUCUAACUAUCUCAAAAAGAAGGUAGGAUGCAUGCGCUGCAUUCCUUCUAUCCUAUUUUCAGAGACUCAAAAGUUUGUACGAGAGAAGACAAUUUAUAAAUACAGUUCAACAAUAUCAAAGUAAUAAAUGAGCGAAAAGUAGCAUAUUAGGCCAACAAACAUAAUAUCAAAAUAAUUAAAGCAAGUAAAAGUAAAUAUCAAAGCUCAAAUUCUAGUUAAUGCCCAGCAGAGUCGUCAAAGAUGUCACACCCCUUUUUGGCUCAAAGUAAUCGAAGUUAAAGGAUUUUUCCAAUUAAAGUGACAGUUUUGAAUAGGGAUUAAUUUACUUAUAGAGUCUCCACUGAGAAUUGAGUUAUGACGUUCCAAGUCACCUUAUUAAAUCUCUAAUCAAAAGAAAAGACUCUUUGUUGGUAUGUGAAAAUAGAAGACUGAGUAAAGAAUUCUGUUGAUCGAGGAAAAGGUGUGAAGCACCCCUCGAGUUCCGUGGUUCAAGCACGGUCGCUUGUAUCAACUUAUACUUAGCUUUAACUAUUUUGGAUAAAUUUUGUUUCCAGGCUUUAAUUCACUUAUUUUUAUUCUACCAAGAAUAUUUAAAGCUCUUGUAUUAAAUCGAUGAAAAACUAUUUUUAGAAAAUAUUUGUCAAGGUUCAUUAUUGCAUCCUUGAAUUGUUAUUAAAUAUCUCAGAAAGAUAUGUACGCCGCAUUUUUAGUUGAGACAAAAAUUCUAAACGUGUUUAAAAUUUGUCUAGCGUUUAAAGGUGUUUGUUUGUCUAUUUGAAGUGCUAUUCAACCUUAAUAAUAUCCUUGAACAAUAUUUAAUUAAGGCGGUUAAUUAAUUUAACAAUUAAUUAUUAAACCCUUUUAAUUAAGAUGAAUAAUAUCAUACAAAUAUACAAAACUAAUCAUAUUAUAUUAAUUUUUAAAAUGAUUCUCCUAAUUAAAUUUCUUUAAAAAUAAUAUAAACUCAAAUCACAAUUAAUUAUGAGACAACUCAAACACAAACAUCCCUAAAUCUGAUUUAAACCAAAAUUAUGAAAUCGAAGAGCCAAUCAAAAUAAUACGUACAAAUACAUGCAAACUCGUACACUAACACAAUCCCAAGUCAAUUUUAGGACGGCCAGAUCUGGUUGGAUCAAUUUUCGAGAUGGUUGGGGAUUUUAGUUGGUUUCAUGGUUUUCGUCGAAUUUCUAGAAGGUUCAGGUGACAGUUUCGUUGUUGGUGUUGUCACCGGUUGUGGGGAGUGGAUUUCGGGUUUGUGGGGGUGGAAACCAGCGAGAUGGUUGCGCCGGCGAUGUAGGGAAAGAGGGGGAAGGGAGCGGCUAGUUGCGGUGGUGCCACUGAGGGACCCGCCGAUGGAUCUGGUAUAGAGGGAGAGGUUUCCCGAUGGUAGUGGAGGGAAUUUUCGGUGAGGGGCUUGCCGGAGAUGGCCGAUGUUGACUAUUUUCCAACAGGUUCAUGGAAAAACUGAACUGGGGUCUGUGUAUAUGUUGUGUGAGUAGAGGUGUGUGCAUUAUUUUAUAUGAUAAAAAAUGGAGUGUGUUAGUCACCGGUUUCUUUGAAAUUUAGGAACGGAUGAUGGUUUAUGGUGUUUUUCAACGAAAAUUUUGCAGGAAAACUAAACAACUCCGGAUUUUUUCUGUCUUUUUUGUCUUUGAUUUUACACCAAUUUUUAUACUUCUAGUGUGUACAGUAUGAGAGAAUUCGUGUAAAAGAAUAUCUACAUUUUUUCAUCUACUGCUUUGUUGUUUCUGGGCUUAAAAUUGUUAUUCAUAUAUAUUUUUCUAGCAAAAGCCAUGCAUUAUAUCAUCACGUAUAUUUCAUACACAGAGAACAUCUUGAAUAUUUCAUUCAUAUUUAUUCAUGAUAAAAUUGAUAACAUAAAUAAUACAUGAUUGAAUAUGAACCUGUAAUGAAUCAAGUCGAGUGAUGAAACAAAAAGACUGUCACCGAAAACUUCAACGGAACUUCUAUCUCCACUCUUUCUCCUCUUUAUCUUCUUCUUCUCUCUCUCUCUCUUUUUUUUUAAACUUUUCUUUCA
rnacentral:lncRNA from 1 species